CCCAGCCUGUCGUUGUUGGAGCCAGUGGGUGGCCGGGUUGGAACCCUGGAGAGGUAGCCAUGGAGGAGGCCAGUCUCCGAACGCAGCAGCCUUCAGGAAGAGAGGGCAGUGAGAUGGUCUGAAGCAGAACACUAGGAUGGGGAGGCAAUGUGAAGCUGUGUCCCCAGAAGACCUUCCCUGCAUCUGGAAAUCUGACCUGACCAGCUCAGGCUGAAGACACUGGAACGCACCCAAAUCUCAGAAGAUGCUAAAGGACCCCCAAUUCAGGAGCCCAGAAAACACAACACCUAGACAGCCUUGCUCCAGGCUGCUUUGACCUUGUGGGUAGUUAACUGGGUUUCUGCCUCGUACUAUGUGUCCCUGCAGUGCCCCUUCCAGGAGCUGGUUUCUCUUAUUGUCUCGUUCAGAAUUUCUGCCUGGUUCUCUUAUCUGCUGAUCCUGUGUUGGGGACUCUGAGGAGUUCUGUCAGUGCCUCUCAGUGCCUGGGGCCCUGCCCCUGAAGCCAGCUCCCCUGGCCAGUUCUCUUGGUUCUUGCACCCUGCUGACCAUCUAGGUGGUUCUAUUAUGAUUCAGGGAAGCCAUUUAGCAUCUGUGGUGGGCUGAAUAAUGGCCCCAAAGAUGUCCAUGGCUUAAUCCCUGUACCUUUGAAUGAAUAGUUUGGUUUACAUGGCAAAGGCAACUUCA